ACUCCUACGGGAGGCAGCAGUGGGGAAUAUUGCACAAUGGGCGCAAGCCUGAUGCAGCCAUGCCGCGUGUGUGAAGAAGGCCUUCGGGUUGUAAAGCACUUUCAGUCGUGAGGAAGGUAGUGUAGUUAAUAGCUGCAUUAUUUGACGUUAGCGACAGAAGAAGCACCGGCUAACUCCGUGCCAGCAGCCGCGGUAAUACGGAGGGUGCGAGCGUUAAUCGGAAUUACUGGGCGUAAAGCGCAUGCAGGUGGUUGUUAAGUCAGAUGUGAAAGCCCGGGGCUCAACCUCGGAAUAGCAUUUGAAACUGGCAGACUAGAGUACUGUAGAGGGGGUAGAAUUUCAGGUGUAGCGGUGAAAUGCGUAGAGAUCUGAAGGAAUACCGGUGGCGAAGGCGGCCCCUGGACAGAUACUGACACUCAGAUGCGAAAGCGUGGGAGCAAACAGGAUUAGAUA
rnacentral:rRNA from 1 species